CAAGACUUGGGGAGGACGUAGUCAGGUUUUAACAGCCCAAUCUAUCCAACUCUGAAAACUUGAAGAAGUUGGAGAAGCAGAGAUAGGAGCUGGUGUUAGAUUAGGAUUUGGGGAGAGAGCUGUCAAGUCUAGACGAGCAUGCUCCCCAUGGGAGAGGGGCUCUGUCGUCUCACUGAAAGCCGGGGCAAAGGGGCUUUGGUGACUUCUUGGAAAGCUGGAUGUGUGUCCCUGGAACAUGAAGGACUCGAUAGGUUGGGGUUUGAUUCAGCCUGGAAAAUCUAAAGGGCCAGAGCCCCUUACUGGCUAGCUGUGCUGAGUGUCGAGGGAGGAGAGGAGGUGCUGAAGGUGGCCUGCUCUCCCCAAGGUGUUGUGGCAAAGGAUGUGGGCAAGUUUCCUGUGAACCAGAACUGGCUGAGGAGGUGUGCCGCCAGAUGCUGGGGGAGUGAAGAAAUAGUGCAGGAAGAAUCAGAAGAGACACAACUGCCCGUCAAGCAAACUGCGGGUGCCCGCCAGGAACAGGGAGCGGCUGGCUGCAAAGAGCCCAGGAAGGAACGUUCAAGAAGAUGAAUCCACUGGGAGACCCGGGGGCUAGAACACCACCAGUCCAUUGCAAGAUGGCUGCUGCAGCUCCAGACAUCACUCCUCACAGAACUUCAUUCAAUGGAAGAAAUGAAAAGGAAGACGUGUUCUCUGCAUCACUCCUUUGUUGUCAUGGAGACUGGCACUGCUCCUAGAGAAGAUGGUCUCUGCCAGCUCAAGACUGAAGUGAUUUUUAAAGCCAAUUGUCUCCAAGAAAAGAGAAUUUGCCUUCCUGAGAAUUCUAACAAAAUUCCCAGGGAAGACUUUGAUUGGCCUGGCUGGAUCACAUGACCAUUCAUGAGCAAAAACAAACAAGGCAAACAGUGGCCAGAAGAUGAAUCCCCUUCUACAUAGGACCCCACCCCACACAUGAACAAAGGAAGAGAAACCUUGCAAAGAAAGAGUAGUAGGAGAAUUAGGAGUAAAUUCAGAGUCAAAUGACGUCACAGACACCAAGGAAAGAGAACUUUAACAUUGAGCGGGCAACUCUUUCAAAUGCAACUAUAGUAUAUUUUAUUAAAAUAAGGAACUGCAAUGUCUUCAUUGGAUUGGUAAAAUGUUGGACACUGGUAACAAUGUUUUGGUAGGGUUAUGGUGAUGGGAGUGGGGGUGGAAUGAGAGUAGUUAUAAUGGGUUUAAAGAGUGCAUAGAAAGAAAGAAACAAACAAAAUUGUAAAUGACCCAAGAAAUUUGGCAGAAAGUAGUAGAAAUAGAGAAGUUAUAAAGAAAGACAUAAGAUCAAGGUAAGAUAUUUAGGCUAUAAAAGACUUGAGUUAGUAGAUGAGAUGGGAAUCUGAAGAUAAAGAAAGAAAAAUUAUUUUAAAAAGGAAAGUUGAACUAAGUGAAAUAAUCAUUAGCAGCAUCAAGUCAAGAUGUAUGGCAGCUGAAAAUUCCUGAGUAUCUAAAUCCUCCUUCACCUUCAUGAUGACUGAAGAAAUAGAAGUCCUGCCAGCAUCUGCUACAUUCAUUCAUUCAUUUGUUCAUUCAGCAAGUGUUUAUGGAACUUGGCCAGGAACCCAUCCAGCUGCUAGUGAACCAGCAGUGAACAAAACUGACAAAACCCCUGCUCUCAUGGGUAUUAAAUGCCUCGGAUACGUGAGUCCUGGCUCUCCCACCUCUCUGGAGAUCUGAGCUGUGCAUUCGACUCCCAGCUCUUUCUGAGCUCACAGACAGGUGUACCUAGACACUGGGUACCAUCUCCGACAGCUGGAAGUUUGGUUCCCUGAAUUACUCCAAACUUCACAGCUUGCAAGCUGCUUACCCAUUACCUGAGCAGACAGAGAAUAUAAUCAUUUCUAUCUCAUCAUCUUUUUCUCUUCCUUAUAGAACCUAGAGAGGGUUGGGGUAAAACAAAAUUUCCCCUACCCUAAGCUACUGGUAGAAUUCCCAAAAUAAGACGAACUUCUCUAGAUGAUUCACCUAAAAAACACUCCACACUUCUCCUGUGCCCCUGACAAAAACAAGCAAGGGAAGCUAUUAUUCUGGGCUACAGGUGGAGAUCAGAGACAGGCAUUCAACCUGACGGAAGCAGAGAGCAAGACUUGAGUAUGUGGACUCUGGAAUAAGACCACUUGGGUUCCAAUUGUAGUGUCCCCACUUACCAGCUUUGACACCUUGAGCAAGUUAACCUGCCUGAGGAGCAGUUCCAUAAUUACCAUUAUCAUCAUCAUCAUACACCUACAUCAAGGAGCUGUGCAAAUGAGAUACAGUCAUUGAAAUGACCACGUGGACUGAGAGCUGGGGCCAAAAUGAGAAGAGAAUAAAGGCUGUAGAAGAAAAUAUCCAACGGUCACUAGAUGACCCUGUGAAAUAGUGUUUACAUAAUGGUUCGCCCUCCUUUAGACCCACUCAGCCUGGACAUGGUGAGACAGGAAGGAUAAAAUUUCUCUGUCCACUUCAGAAAUUGAGGGUUGGUAUAAUUCAUUCUUAAUUCUUCAUGUCUGGGGCCAAUGGGCUUAUGUCAUAUGUUUAAAGAAAAUCUAUCUUCCUCUUAAAAACAUAAACUCAGUGCAACUAUGAGGUCAAAAUUUCGGCUAAAGACUGGGUUCCUUUAAAAUGUCCAUAAAGUGUCUUACUAUUUAUGACAGGACAGCUGUUGCCUCUUUUUCCAAGAAGGAAUUAAAGGAUCUUAUUACCCUAAA